rnacentral:rRNA from 1 species
AUUGAACGCUGGCGGCAUGCCUUACACAUGCAAGUCGAACGGUAACAGGUCUUCGGAUGCUGACGAGUGGCGAACGGGUGAGUAACACGUAGGAAUCUACCCUUAAGACGGGGACAACCCAGGGAAACUUGGGCUAAUACCGGAUGAGAGUGCGAGAGAUUGCAUUUAAAAGGAUGGCGAAAGUUGUCGCUUAGGGAUGAGCCUGCGGUCUAUUAGUUAGUUGGUGAGGUAAGAGCUCACCAAGGCGACGAUGGGUAGCCGGCCUGAGAGGGUGGACGGCCACACUGGGACUGAGACACGGCCCAGACUCCUACGGGAGGCAGCAGUAGGGAAUAUUGCGCAAUGGACGGAAGUCUGACGCAGCGACGCCGCGUGAGCGAUGAAGGUCUUCGGAUCGUAAAGCUCUGUCCUUGGGGAAGAAGGUCUUCGGACUUGACGGUACCCAAGAAGAAAGCCCCGGCUAACUACGUG